ensembl:lncRNA
UUUGGUUAACUGUAAAGCAUAUGAAGGUAUUAUUAUAAUAAGUCCUUAUUACUAGUGGUUGUAAUGGAACUAGUAGUUUCCUAAGUUUUGUGGCUAAUUGAUUCAUAUACUUUUAUUUUACCUUAUUGUACUGCUGUAUUCAUGUGAUUUGCUCUUUAUUUUUUUCUUCUUAUGGCCUCAACCUUGGCAUAUCAAGGUUCCCAGGCUAGGGAUGGAAUCGGAGCUGUAACUGCCUGCCUGCGCCACAGCCACGUGGGAUCUGGGCCUUGUCUGUGACCUAUACCUCAGCUCACUGCAAUGCGGUAUCCUUAACCCACUGAGCAAGGCCAGGGGUGGAACCCGCAUCCUCAUGGAUACUAGUCAGGUUCGUUAACCGCUGAGCCACGAGGGGAACACCUGGUUUGCCCUUUAUCUUUACUUAAUUAAAUAUUUGGCUGUUAGAGGGGAGGUGGGGGGCGGGGGAAUGAUUCUGCUGUGUUUCAGAGUAGGCCAGUUAAUAUUUGAAUAUUUUUUGCAUGCUGGAGUCCUGAUACUUUUUGUGUGUAAGUGUAUAUAACAAGAAGUCUAUCUCAUCUUCAUUCCCUCUUCAUUAAGGAUGAAAAAUUUUGAAUAUCCUCUGGGUUUUUUCCCAGUUUUUGUAACAUGCACUUUCUCCUUGUCAUUGUUAGCCAGACAUUUUUGUGAACACCAUGCCUAUUUUAUCCUACAAAUGAAACUUACUUGUAUUUUAUAGUUAGAGCAUUGAGAAUGUCAGUGCAGUAGAUUGAAACUGUUGUAUAUUCUUUUCAUUAUGUGAUACGAAUGAACAACUCUAAAGAUUUGUUGGGUACUGAGCCUUUUAAAGCAUUAAAAUAAAUACCAUAUAAGGAAAGCAGAGUAGUACUAAGAACUUUCAAAGUAAGGAAAGUGAAUCACAAAACAGUGAACUUGGAAAAUGAUUGUGUAUUGAAGGGAAAGGCAUUGCUUUUCCUGUCACUUUUCUAAAAAUCUUGUUCUUGAUGUUCUAUGCUUGUGAGUUCUGCUGAAUGUGAUUACUUAAUCUUGUACUGUACUGUUAUUUUUAAAAAGCUGCUUUCAAGUAAAGUAAUUUUUCCUCCUAAAAACAUAUACUAAAACUAGAAACUGGAAACUUGCUACCCCAAAUUCUCAGGUUGCUCCUGCAUUUUUCAUAUUAUGUAAGGCAAAUAAUUUAAAAUGGAACAGAGACAGUUCAUUCAUAUCUAAAACUUACAUGUAAAACUUAGAAGACAUAAGUAAUAAAUUUCUGCAGAUCCUGAUCAAGAUAUGCCUCUUUAUAAUUUUUGAUGGUUUCAAUAACGAUUGUCAGACACAGCAGUAUGCUCAGGCAUCAAAUGUUGAUUUAUGUCCAUUAUGUUUCUUAUCCUAAGAAAAAGAUGAUUUAUUAACAUAUUUUAGAAAAGUUUUCUAUACCAAAGAGUUUUUGCUUUAUUUACUACAGUUAACUAGAAGUGAUUAGAGAAUUCAUCCUUCAAAAUAGUUUCCAUCCUGAAUUGCAUUGUUAAAUGGAUUCUGUUUUUAUUGUGUAUGCCAGCUUUGGGCAAAUAAUGUAUAUAUCAAAAUUCCAAGAGAUGGUAAUGAUAUGUAUUUUUGCCUUUACAAAAUUAGACUGUUAGUUUUUUAAGUAUUUCCAAAAUACUUUAUUUCUGAUUUAUCAGUUGGCACUGAAAAAGGGCAGUUAACGUUCCUUUGAUUUCUAACAUUAUUCCAAUUAAUGUAUCAAGAUUUGAAUUUUUUAAAAGGGAAGACAUGUAAUAGAAAUUAUUUUCUUAUGACUUACUAUAAUUUUGGAUUCUUGAAUAUAGAUAUAUAUUACUGCAGCAUAGCAAGAAAGUAAUUCUGUUAUUUAUUGGUUUUUAAGUUUUUAUGUGAAGUAAAUCAGAGGUUAUGUGCUAAAGGAUCCUAUGGUAAAAAGUAGUCAUAAUAGCAUGUUUAUUAUAGAAAAAGUAGAAAAUAAAUAUCACUUGCAAUCCUGCAAACUAAAAAGCUAUUAACCUGGACAAAUAUUGUGUGUUAUUCUCACUGUGUUUGUUUGUUUGUUUAAAAGCACUCUUUUGCUUUUUCUUCUAGAUUAUUAAAGUAACAAGUGAAUGUGGAAAAUACAGAAAAUUCAGAAAAGUAUAAAAAGAAAAAACAUCCAGAGAAAACCACUCUUCCCAUUUUUGUAAUUAGAGAACUUGAGCUAUGCUCACUGAUCUGUAAUCGCUGUCAUUUUAAAAAUUUACAUCAUUAAGUAUUUUCCAGGUCAUUUAAUAUUUAUCUAAAAUAUGAUUCUUAAUGGCCAGGGUAUAACUGACUUAAUGAUUCCUUGUUAUUGAACAUUUAAUUUUAUUUUGAUUUUUCACUUCUAUAAAUAGCACUGUGGCCAACAGUUUUGUACUUGAAUUUUUGUUUGCACAGUUGGUCAUUUCUUUAGAAAACAUUUCUCUAAGUAUAAUUAUUAUUUUAAAGUAUAGAGGUGCCUUCAAUGCUUGUUAACUAAUGCUGUGUCUUUAGUCAAAUUCUUUUUCUUUUCUUUUUUUCUUUUUUUUUGUCUUUUUGCCAUUUCUUGGGCUGCUCCCGCGGCAUAUGGAGGUUCCCAGGCUAGGGGUCAAAUCGGAGCUGUAGCUGCCAGCCUACGCCAGAGCCGCAGCAACGCAGGAUCCGAGCCGUGUCUGCGACCUCCACCACAGCUCACGGCAACGCCGGAUCCUGAACCCACUGAGCAAGGCCAGGGAAGGGAUCGAAAACCUCAUGGUUCCCAGUCGGACUUGUUAACCACUGAGCCAUGACGGUUAUUAUUUUUCAAGCUUUAGUGUCUUCUCCUGUACUGCAGGUAUAGUAAUGAUAUUUACCUCAUGGGAGGAGUGAAUGACUGUAUAUAUGAUAUAUACAGCAUUUAUACAUAUAUACAGCAUUUAGCUCAGCCUGUAGCAGACGGGAUACCGCUCAGAGGGGCUUUCCUCAACUGCCCUUCCUUAAGUAGGCCCCUCCUCCUAUUGCAUCUAUUCUAAUUAAUCAGCAUUUUAACAGUUUUUGUCUUACUCUACCACUAGAGCAUGAGCCAGGGAUCGAACCAGCAACCCCAUGGUUCCCAGUCAGAUUCGUUAACCACUGUGCCACCACGGGAACUCCCACUUAACUGACUUUUAAACCAUUGUUUUCAAUUCCUAUAGUCUAGAGUGUGGAGCCUUUAUAGCUAGUGAACUACUCUAGUUUACUCAUACCUUUCCUCCUACCAGGAUAGGUAUAUGCCUAAGAACCAGCUUUUUUUAAUGCUACUAUUAAUACAAUUUUUAGUUUAUUUUAAAUUGUGGGUGCUUUGGAAACUUUACAUAAAAUGCUUUAAAAAUUACUAAAGGUUUAGGUGUGGAUAAGCCUGAAGGUUUAAGAAGCUUUUGGUUCAACUGACUAAACAGUACAGAAAUUUUAUUUUCUCACGUAUCUGGAAGAAUGGCUGUUUGUGUGUUGGUUAAUGCAACAGCUGAGUGACUAACACCAGAGCCAGAUUCUUUGCUUCUUUCUGUUUUGCCAUUGUUAGAGUGUGAGAUUCUUUUUAAGCUAGUUCUCAUUAUGGUUAAAAGAUGGCUAUGGUUAAGUAGUUCUAAAUAUGAUAUUCUGAUAUAACAACAUCUGAGGGGGAACAAAGGGGGCUAUUUUCCCUCCUCCUUUCCUAAAAUCCUACAGUCAGUUUUUCCCUCAUAGCUCACUGGCUAGAAUUGGUUCAAAUGCUCUUUCAUAAAUCACUUACUGACAAGGGGGGCAGCAUUAUCAUAUUGGUUUAAACUGAUCAGCAUUUCGCCUUGUCUUGUAAGAAAGCUUGAACAACAAAACAGCUGUGGCAGUCAUAGGGAGAAGGACUGUUAGGGAGUCAGCCAGGAGUAUCUGCUGUAGUGAGACAAUUUAAAAAGUAGAAAACAGGACGUUCCCGUUGUAGCUCAGCGGUAACAAGCCCGACUAGUGUUCAGAGGAUAUGGGUUCGAUCCCUGGGCUCUCUCAGUGGUUUAAGUGUUGUGUUCCCAUGAGCUGCUGCGUAAUUCACAGAUGUGGCUCAGAUCCCCAGUUGUUGUGGCUGUGGUAUAAGCCAGCAGCUGUAGCUCUGAUCCGACCCCUAGGCUGGGAACUCCCAUAUGCCUCUGGUGCAGUCCUAAAGAAAAA